rnacentral:lncRNA from 1 species
AACCAAGAAAUUCCUAUAUAACUGGCACUGUCCUGAGCUUACCAGUAUCCAUUGUGAGAGGCUACACCGUCAUCAUGGACAAACUCUGUCUGUUCUUGAUCUUGUUUGGCUGUCUGGCCACAGUCUUAAGUACUCCAGGAAUGUAUGGUGGCGGGAUGAUGGACCGUGGAAUGAUGGGCGGUGGAAUGAUGGACCGUGGAAUGAUGGGCGGGAAUGAUGGCAGGUGGAAUGAUGGCAGGUGGAAUGAUGGGAGGUGGAAUGAUGGAUGAUGACGAAAUGUACAUGGGUGGAAGGGGUGGCAUGGUAGGCCGCGGUUAUUAUGGUAGACGUCCAAGAUGUCGAUGCAGGAAAUAUUGCCGACGUUGGGAACGAUACAUGGGAAAAUGUUGGAAGUGUAGAUGGUGGAGGUGCAGAGUAUACUGCUGCAGAUAUUAAAGAGGUUUCUACUGUCUACAAGUACCGAUAUUUGCAAUGAAACAAUAGAUGAAACUGAUGUUUGUACAUAUACUGACGUUGUUUUUUUCGCUUUUAGUGCAUUAAACAUACUUCAGGCAUA